AAGACCUUGCGCUUUUGGAGCGGCCGAUGCCUGAUUAGCUUGUUGGUAAGGUAAAAGCUUACCAAGGCUUCGAUCAGUAGCUGGUCUGCGAGGACGGCCAGCCACACUGGGACUGAGACACGGCCCAGACUCCUACGGGAGGCAGCAGUGGGGAAUUUUGGACAAUGGGGGCAACCCUGAUCCAGCCAUGCCGCGUGAGUGAAGAAGGCCUUCGGGUUGUAAAGCUCUUUCAGCCGGAACGAAACGGUUACGGUUAAUACCCGUGACUACUGACGGUACCGGAAGAAGAAGCACCGGCUAACUACGUGCCAGCAGCCGCGGUAAUACGUAGGGUGCGAGCGUUAAUCGGAAUUACUGGGCGUAAAGCGUGCGCAGGUGGUUUUGUAAGUCAGAUGUGAAAGCCCCGGGCUCAACCUGGGAACU
rnacentral:rRNA from 1 species